rnacentral:rRNA from 2 species
UUAAGCGACUAAGCGUACACGGUGGAUGCCCUGGCAGUCAGAGGCGAUGAAGGACGUGCUAAUCUGCGAUAAGCGUCGGUGAGGUGAUAUGAACCGUUAUAACCGGCGAUUUCCGAAUGGGGAAACCCAGUGUGUUUCGACACACUAUCAUUAACUGAAUCCAUAGGUUAAUGAGGCGAACCGGGGGAACUGAAACAUCUAAGUACCCCGAGGAAAAGAAAUCAACCGAGAUUCCCCCAGUAGCGGCGAGCGAACGGGGAGGAGCCCAGAGCCUGAAUCAGUGUGUGUGUUAGUGGAAGCGUCUGGAAAGGCGUGCGAUACAGGGUGACAGCCCCGUACACAAAAAUGCACAUGCUGUGAGCUCGAUGAGUAGGGCGGGACACGUGGUAUCCUGUCUGAAUAUGGGGGGACCAUCCUCCAAGGCUAAAUACUCCUGACUGACCGAUAGUGAACCAGUACCGUGAGGGAAAGGCGAAAAGAACCCCGGCGAGGGGAGUGAAAAAGAACCUGAAACCGUGUACGUACAAGCAGUGGGAGCCUCUUAAUGGGGUGACUGCGUACCUUUUGUAUAAUGGGUCAGCGACUUAUAUUCUGUAGCAAGGUUAACCGAAUAGGGGAGCCGAAGGGAAACCGAGUCUUAACUGGGCGUUAAGUUGCAGGGUAUAGACCCGAAACCCGGUGAUCUAGCCAUGGGCAGGUUGAAGGUUGGGUAACACUAACUGGAGGACCGAACCGACUAAUGUUGAAAAAUUAGCGGAUGACUUGUGGCUGGGGGUGAAAGGCCAAUCAAACCGGGAGAUAGCUGGUUCUCCCCGAAAGCUAUUUAGGUAGCGCCUCGUGAAUUCAUCUCCGGGGGUAGAGCACUGUUUCGGCAAGGGGGUCAUCCCGACUUACCAACCCGAUGCAAACUGCGAAUACCGGAGAAUGUUAUCACGGGAGACACACGGCGGGUGCUAACGUCCGUCGUGAAGAGGGAAACAACCCAGACCGCCAGCUAAGGUCCCAAAGUCAUGGUUAAGUGGGAAACGAUGUGGGAAGGCCCAGACAGCCAGGAUGUUGGCUUAGAAGCAGCCAUCAUUUAAAGAAAGCGUAAUAGCUCACUGGUCGAGUCGGCCUGCGCGGAAGAUGUAACGGGGCUAAACCAUGCACCGAAGCUGCGGCAGCGACACUAUGUGUUGUUGGGUAGGGGAGCGUUCUGUAAGCCUGUGAAGGUGGCCUGUGAGGGUUGCUGGAGGUAUCAGAAGUGCGAAUGCUGACAUAAGUAACGAUAAAGCGGGUGAAAAGCCCGCUCGCCGGAAGACCAAGGGUUCCUGUCCAACGUUAAUCGGGGCAGGGUGAGUCGACCCCUAAGGCGAGGCCGAAAGGCGUAGUCGAUGGGAAACAGGUUAAUAUUCCUGUACUUGGUGUUACUGCGAAGGGGGGACGGAGAAGGCUAUGUUGGCCGGGCGACGGUUGUCCCGGUUUAAGCGUGUAGGCUGGUUUUCCAGGCAAAUCCGGAAAACCAAGGCUGAGGCGUGAUGACGAGGCACUACGGUGCUGAAGCGACAAAUGCCCUGCUUCCAGGAAAAGCCUCUAAGCAUCAGGUAACAUCAAAUCGUACCCCAAACCGACACAGGUGGUCAGGUAGAGAAUACCAAGGCGCUUGAGAGAACUCGGGUGAAGGAACUAGGCAAAAUGGUGCCGUAACUUCGGGAGAAGGCACGCUGAUAUGUAGGUGAAGCGACUUGCUCGUGGAGCUGAAAUCAGUCGAAGAUACCAGCUGGCUGCAACUGUUUAUUAAAAACACAGCACUGUGCAAACACGAAAGUGGACGUAUACGGUGUGACGCCUGCCCGGUGCCGGAAGGUUAAUUGAUGGGGUUAGCGGCAACGCGAAGCUCUUGAUCGAAGCCCCGGUAAACGGCGGCCGUAACUAUAACGGUCCUAAGGUAGCGAAAUUCCUUGUCGGGUAAGUUCCGACCUGCACGAAUGGCGUAAUGAUGGCCAGGCUGUCUCCACCCGAGACUCAGUGAAAUUGAACUCGCUGUGAAGAUGCAGUGUACCCGCGGCAAGACGGAAAGACCCCGUGAACCUUUACUAUAGCUUGACACUGAACAUUGAGCCUUGAUGUGUAGGAUAGGUGGGAGGCUUUGAAGUGUGGACGCCAGUCUGCAUGGAGCCGACCUUGAAAUACCACCCUUUAAUGUUUGAUGUUCUAACGUUGGCCCGUAAUCCGGGUUGCGGACAGUGUCUGGUGGGUAGUUUGACUGGGGCGGUCUCCUCCUAAAGAGUAACGGAGGAGCACGAAGGUUGGCUAAUCCUGGUCGGACAUCAGGAGGUUAGUGCAAUGGCAUAAGCCAGCUUGACUGCGAGCGUGACGGCGCGAGCAGGUGCGAAAGCAGGUCAUAGUGAUCCGGUGGUUCUGAAUGGAAGGGCCAUCGCUCAACGGAUAAAAGGUACUCCGGGGAUAACAGGCUGAUACCGCCCAAGAGUUCAUAUCGACGGCGGUGUUUGGCACCUCGAUGUCGGCUCAUCACAUCCUGGGGCUGAAGUAGGUCCCAAGGGUAUGGCUGUUCGCCAUUUAAAGUGGUACGCGAGCUGGGUUUAGAACGUCGUGAGACAGUUCGGUCCCUAUCUGCCGUGGGCGCUGGAGAACUGAGGGGGGCUGCUCCUAGUACGAGAGGACCGGAGUGGACGCAUCACUGGUGUUCGGGUUGUCAUGCCAAUGGCACUGCCCGGUAGCUAAAUGCGGAAGAGAUAAGUGCUGAAAGCAUCUAAGCACGAAACUUGCCCCGAGAUGAGUUCUCCCUGACUCCUUGAGAGUCCUGAAGGAACGUUGAAGACGACGACGUUGAUAGGCCGGGUGUGUAAGCGCAGCGAUGCGUUGAGCUAACCGGUACUAAUGAACCGUGAGGCUUAACCUU